CGUCUCUGCACCACGAAGAUAUUGUCUCUACAUCGCAGACAUCGGCGACCGCGGCGGUAACGUACCAGUGAACAACAUCUACGUCAUCAGGGAGCCCGCCACCGUACAGAACUCAAGCGUGGACCUUGCCGGUGUUCUCAAGUUUAAUUGGACAGCACCUGAUGCAGAAACUCUUUUGAUUUCCCCUGAUGCUCGUCUUUUUGUCGUAUCGAAAGUGUCCGGUGGUCAAGCUACUGUGGCACAAGUUCCCUUGGCCGCUUGGAACCCAACAAGUCGAGUCGAUCUGGACCUGAGUCAAUCUGGAACUCUCAAAAUCAGCACCCCCAGCAGAGAUCCUUUGGGUGGAGCCCUUUCACCCGAUGGAAAGUUUUUGUUAAUUGUCGCAGAGUAUAAUAUCUAUUUCUACAGCAUUGUUAAUGGUGACGUAAUCAA
rnacentral:sRNA from 1 species